AAUAAGUACUAAAUUCAAUAUCCUACAAAUUUUUGUCAAAUGUUGUAGGAUUGUUAGGUAGUUGCAAUGUCCCAAAACUAUCGUACAUCAAACAAGGUGCCUUAAAAACCAUCAAGAAUAGUUCAACACAAACAAGACCAUGGAAAAAGGUGUGGUUUAAGAGCAGUUCUUGCUAUAUCAAUCAGGCUUCAGGCCUCCUCCGACUCCAUCUUAUUA
rnacentral:misc_RNA from 1 species